rnacentral:rRNA from 1 species
GACGAACGCUGGCGGCGUGCUUAACACAUGCAAGUCGAACGAAAAGGCCCUGCUUUUGUGGGGUGCUCGAGUGGCGAACGGGUGAGUAACACGUGAGUAACCUGCCCUUGACUUUGGGAUAACUUCAGGAAACUGGGGCUCAUACCGGAUAGGAGCUCCUGCUGCAUGGUGGGGGUUGGAAAGUUUCGGCGGUUGGGGAUGGAAUCGCGGCUUAUCAGCUUGUUGGUGGGGUAGUGGCUUACCAAGGCUUUGAAGGGUAGCCGGCCUGAGAGGGUGACCGGCGACAUUGGGACUGAGAUACGGCCCAGACUCCUACGGGAGGCAGCAGUGGGGAAUAUGGCACAAUGGGCGGAAGCCUGAUGCAGCAACGCCGCGUGCGGGAUGACGGCCUUCGGGUUGUAAACCGCUUUCGCCUGUGACGAAGCGUGAGUGACGGUAAUGGGUAAAGAAGCACCGGCUAACUACGUG